CCGGUCUGAACUCAGAUCACGUAAGACUCACUUGGGCGAACAGACCAAUUCUUAUAAAUUUUUCUCUAUAAGUUAUUCUUAAUCCAACAUCGAGGUCGCAAUGUAUUUUGUGAAUAAGAUCUUCUCAAAAAUUUUGCGCUGUUAUCCCUUAGGUAACUUGUUUUAGUUCAUACGUGGAUAAUUUAAUUUGAAGUAUAUCAUCUUAUUAUAUUUAAAGAUUUAUUUAUUUAAAAAUCUCCCCAAUUUAACAAGACAAUCCAGUUAAGAUGGUGAGGCUUGUAAAGUUCUAAAGGGUCUUCUUGUCUUUUGAUUUAAUUUAAGAUUUUUCACUUAAAUACUAAUUUUUACUUUUUUAGAUUAAAAUGUUUGUUUUUCAUUGUUUCCUUCAUUCAAGCUUUCAAUUAUAAAGCAAUUUAUUAUGCUACCUUAGUACAGUUAAUUUACUGCAGCUAUUUAAGUUUAUCAUUGAGCAGAAUUUAUUUAA
rnacentral:rRNA from 1 species